GCUGGAGUGUGGUGGCACAAUCAUAGCUCACUGCAGCCUUGACCUCCUGGGCCUGAGCCAUCCUCCCACCUCAGCCUCUCGAGUGGAUGGGGCUACAGGUGCACACCACCACGUCCUGAACAAUACUUUCGAAGUAAAAAAAAUCUAUGAAAUAUUUGUAUUCACUUAAAGUGGAAAGACAAUCUGCACACCUGGAGGAGAUAUUUGCAACAUUUACAACUGGCAAAGGUUUAUUACCAAGAAUAUAUAAAGAAGUCUUAUAAAUCAACAAGAAAGAAGAAAAACAACAGAAAGAAAUGGACAAAAGAAAAAGCAUUUUAUAAAAGAAGAAAUGCUCAUGGCCAGCAAACAUAUGGAGAUGUUCAAACUCAUGUGAAAUGUAAAUCAAGACCCAAUAAGAUAAGCUUUUAUGUCCACUAAAAUGGCAAAAUGUUAAUAGCUAGACAAUCCAAGUAUUGGAGAACAUACAGAUCCAUGGGAUCUCUUACAUAUCGCUUAUAAGGGUACGCAUUAGGACAUAGGACACUCACUUAGAAAAAGUGUGGCAUUAUCUUGCAAAAUCAAACACUCACAUAGGCUGCUGUGCAGGUCCUGAGUCUGUUUGCCCUCAGAUCCACUCUUUGCUAUGCCCUUAUGUCCUCAGUUUUCCAGCAGGAUCUCGGCAGCCAUGUCAUCUUGCUUCCAGUUGGGCUCAGUUAAUAAAAGAGAGAGAAUGGAAGGUGGAAAGAAGGGAGAAGCCAAGGUGUUUCUCACCAGCACCCUCCCCUUCUCCUCUCAGGUAACAUCCCCUGUGGUGGCCACAGCUCUCCGAUGGGUCCAGUUCCCACAGGAAAGCCAGCCAUGAUUCUAACUUCUACCAGGUGACCCUGGCCCUGGGCUCUGGUGACACUAACCUUUUGUUUCUCUAGUCCUGGGGAGGGGUAGUAACAGCUUCCUGCUAUUAUUAAUUUAUGGAUUGCCUCAUUGCCUCCUGUGAGGCUUCUCAGCUAUUGAUUACCAUACUACUCAGCAAUAAAAAGGAAAAAACUAUUGAUACAUGCAACAACUUUGUCGGACCACAAGAGAAUUUUACCAACUAAAAAAGCCAGUCUCACAUUGUUACAUACUAUAUGAUUCCACUUACAUAACCUUCUAGAAAUGACAAAAUUAUUGAGGUGAAGAACAGAUUAGUGGUUGCCAAGGGUUAAAGACAGGGUUGGGGUUGGAGAAAGAAAUCAGUGUACCUAAAAAGAAGCAGCCAGAGGGAUCUUUGUGGUGACGGGACAGUUCUGUAUCUUGAUUGUGGUGGUGGUUAUACAAAUCUACGUGUAAUAAAGUUUUAUGUGUGCAUAGAACUAUGUACAUACUCAAACAAAUGCAUGUAACCCUGGUGAAAUCUGAAUAAGGUCUGUGGAUUGUGCCAAUACCAGUGACCUGGUUUUGAUACUGUAUUAUAGCUAUCUAAGACAUUAUUAUCAGGAGAAAAUGGGGGAAAGGUACAUGUACUUUUCUGUACUAUUUUUGCAACUUCUCGUGAAUCUGUUACUAUUUCAAAAUUAAAAGUAUCUGAAAAUCCA
rnacentral:lncRNA from 1 species